UCCCUGGUGGCUUGGUCAUAAAGAAUCAGCCUGCAAUGCAGGAGACCCAGGUUCGAUCCCUGGGUAGGGAA
rnacentral:tRNA from 1 species